rnacentral:rRNA from 1 species
UCAACUUCACGAAUCGCAUGGCCUUGUGCUGUGGCGAUGGUUCAUCUCAAAUUUCUGCCCUAUCAACUUUCGAUGGUAGGAUAGUGGGCCUACCAUGGUUUGGAAGGGGGUAACGGGGAAUUAGGGUUCUAUUCCGGAGAGGGAGCCUGAGAAACGGUACCACAUCCAAGGAAGGCAGCAGGGCGCAAAUUACCCAAUCCCGACACGGGGAGGUAGUGACAAUAAAUACUGAUACAGGGCUCUUUUGGGUCUUGUAAGUUGGAAUGAGUACAAUUUAAAUCCCUUAACGAGGAACAAUUGGAGGGCAAGUCUGGUGCCAGCAGCCGGGGUAAUUCCAGUUCCAAUAGCGUAUAUUAAAGUUGUUGCAGUUAAAAAGCUCGUAGUUGAACCUUGGGCCUGG